GUCCUUUAUGUGACAUCCGAUAAAAUUGGAACGAUACAGAGAAGAUUAGCAUGGCCCCCUGCGCAAGGACGACACACGUAAAUCAAAAUAGCCCAACCAACUA